GAGAUAAAGAUGAUUCAAAGUAUACAACUGGAUACAUCUUUAUGUUCGGUGCAACAUCAAUCUCAUGGUGUUCGAAGAAGGAACCGGUAGUUGCACUCUUAUUUUGUUAGGUCGAGUACAUUGCUGCUUUGUUAUGUGCGUGCCAAGUCGUUCUCUCUCUCUCUCUCUCUCUCUCUCUCUCUCCCUUAGUCUACAACUGGAUACAUCUUUAUGUUCGGUGCAACAUCAAUCUCAUGGUGUUCGAAGAAGGAACCGGUAGUUGCACCCUUAUUUUAUUAGGUCGAGUACAUUGCUGCUUUGUUAUAUGUGUGCCAAGCCGUGUGGCUUAUGAAUAUAUUGGAGGAGCCGGGGACCAGUGAGGGUGAGGUUGUUACAAUCCUGGUUGACAAUAUUUCUGUGAUUAAUCUUGCUAAGAACCCAAUUGCACAUGGGAGGAACAAAUAUAUUGAGAUGAGGUUUCACUACUUGAGGAAACUUAUUAGUGAAGGAAAGUUACGAUUGAGAUAUUUCAUAGUGAAGAUCAAGUGGCUGAUUUGUUGACUAAGGGAGUCAGAAAUGAUGUGCUCAAGAUUUUGAAGAUGAACAUGAGCAUGGAAGAUUUGGAGCACUUGAAUUAAGGUGGUGUGUUGAAAGUUAUAGUGGUAAUUCAAGUGUUGUAACCGGUUAACACGGGGGUGUAACCGGUUACAGCAAAGUCAGAACCACCUUUGAAGUGGUAGAAAAGUGAUUUUUUCGAAGGCGUAAUCGGUUAACAUCAGACAUUAAUUAGUUACCACUGAAUGAGAUUUUGAUUCACUCUCUGCUGUAAUCGGUUAACCAAAUGGUGUAACUGAUUACGAGCCUAAGUUUUGACUUUUUAUGUUAUUUCACUUGUUCUUUUUAUCCCAAUUGUAUUGUAACCUUUGCAUAAAUGUAUAUGAUGCAUUCUUAUCCUAGGUUAAUACAGUAAUCACACCCCUCUCUCUGGUUCAAAAUUCCAACAUUAUCUCCGUGAUCUCCAACCAAAUUCUAUCCCGUGGACCCCAUUUCACCCACGUAGAAAGAGUCUCACGCCAACCUUUUCUACACCACAUGGAAAUCUAGUCUUUGAUUUCUCCAUAAGUACCCCAUCAUAAAAGAACAUGUACCAUCCUUUUCUCACUCAUCUAUGUCAAUUGUAAUCCAUCCAACCACAUGUUCCACGUGGUCACUCCCAAACAAAUUGAAAUGUAUUCUCAUCUAUCUUGACUUUGAAGGAAGAGUUAAUAGUCGCCAUUGACGUAGUUUUGAUCAGCACUUGUGCCAUAUGCAGUCUAUCUUUGUAUAUAGUUGAAGCGUCUGGCCUUAUAUAUGAUCCAAUCUUAAUGGUGAUUAGUUUGAAAAAACCUUCUCUCCAAGCAUGUAAAGGAAUACCACGUAUGCAUAUCCAACAAAAUGUCUCCCCUUAUGUUUGGUAUGGUGUCCAUUGGGAAAUAGAGCAAAACAAUCUCCUGAGUGUUGUUUUCUCUUCCUUUAUAUAGAUCAAUCCAGCAGUUAUUGAGAUCUCUCUCUAGGUACGCGAUGUUUGCAUUCUCCUUAAACCUUGCAAAUCCAAACUUCUUCUCGUACUUGUUUCUCUUCUUUGGGAUAAACAAGAGUGUCAUAGAAGAUUACAUACGGUAUGAGUUUGAUGCAGUGUCGAACCUUGGUCUUCAUGAACUCCAUCGCUUAGUCUCUCUAGUUAUGAUCCAUCUAAAAGAAAAUUUACAAUUUUACCUACUGGAGUUACUUUCAUCAUUUUUUUCUUUCAUAAGGAGAUCUAAUGAAGAUUUUUGUUUGUAUUAUAUUAAUUAAAGUUAAGUUACCAAUUCAAUGGAAUAUAAAGACAAACACGCCGUAUUGAUGCACCUAAGAGACAUUUAACUAUUAUUUAAAUUCAAAGAUUGACGUUUUUAACACUAUAAAAUGAUCAUAUAAUUUUCUAUUUCUACAAGUGAAAUAGGAAAAUAUGGCAGAAAUACUAAAAUUUGUUUAUGCUAUGAUUAUUUUUCAAUUCAUAUUUGUCAUUGUAACUGAAGGCCUACGUAAGUUCAUUUGCUUUAAAUUUGUUUAUCUUAUACGCAAUGACUAAAUUGCUAUUACUAACAUUUUUUUGUAAUUAUUAUUUGACAUCACAGAUUUGUAUAUAUGUGUUGAUGUGAAAGAAUGUUAUGAUAAAGUAAACUGUAUCUCUCCUCAAGUUCCACAAUGCAUAUAUAGUCUUUGUCGUUGUGCGUGAGUCUUAAUUAAGUUCAGAAAUAAUUUCAUGGCACUUCUAACUUCUAAGACUAUAUUUAUAUAAAUAUUUAUAAAUAUAGCAUUUGUUCAGUCGGAAUAAUAUUAUUGUAUUAUACAAAUUUGUUAUUUUACAAAUAUUGUUGAGUCGGAAAAAUGUGUAAUAAAUUAGGAAAUUAUAUGAAUAUAUAUAUAUAUAUAAUUAUAAUUAAAUAGUAUUUAUAUAUAUUUUUUUUUAGAACA
rnacentral:lncRNA from 1 species